rnacentral:rRNA from 1 species
GACGAACGCUGGCGGCGUGCCUAAUACAUGCAAGUCGAACGCAGUGGGGACGGGUGAGUAACACGUGGGUAACCUCCCAUCAGAGGGGAUAACACUUGGAAACAGGUGCUAAACCGAUACUGAUGGAUGGACCCGCGGUGCAUUAGCUAGUUGGUGAGGUAACGGCUCACCAAGGCCACGAUGCAUCGCCGACGUGAGAGGGUAAUCGGCCACACUGGGACGAGGACACGGCCCAGACUACGACGGGAGGCAGCAGUAGGGAAUCUUGGGCAAUGGACGAAAGUCUGACCGAGCAACGCAGCGUGAGGGAAGAAGGUGUUCGGAUGGUAAAACUCUGUUGGUAGAGAAGCGGUAUCUAACCAGAAAGCCACGGCUAACUACGUGCCAGCAGCCGCGGUAAUUAC